rnacentral:rRNA from 1 species
UUUUAAUAAUAAAUUAUUAUUAGUAUAACCUGCUCAAUGUAAUAUAAAUAGCCGCAGGAUUUUUACUGUGCUAAGGUAGCGUAAUCAUUAGCCUUUUAAUUGAAGGCUUGUAUGAAAGGUUAAACAUUUUAAUUUCUUUCUUAUUUAUAAAUUUAUAAUUUAUAUUAAAUAUAAAAAUAUAUUUAUAAAUUAAUUAGACGACAAGACCCUAUUGAACUUUACUGAAGUUUAACUGGGGAAGUUAAUUAAAUAAAAUUUUAAUUUUAAAUAAUUUUUUAAAGAUCCAAUAUCAUUGAAUACAUGAAUUAAGUUACCAUAGGGAUAACAGCAUAAUUUAUUUUUAAAGUUCUUAUUAAAAAAAAAGAUUGUGACCUCGAUGUUGAAUUAAUGUUUCAUUUAUUAUGCAAUAAUAUAAAAUGUAGGUCUGUUCGACCUUUAAAACACUACA